rnacentral:rRNA from 1 species
AUGAAUUCCUUGAAUAUCCAUGAUGCUAAUGAUAUGCAAAGCCACAAGCUUGGGGAAGCUAUGUUUGAUGAAGAUGAUAUUUUUGUCCCCCAAGCUUUGAUGAGCAAAUUUAUUAUGAUGAGAGCAUGCCUCCUAUCUAUGAUGAUUAUUGUGAUGAGUUGUAUGCUAUUAAAAAUAAUGAUAACCAUGAAACUUGUCAUUAUGAUUUUAGUUUUCAAUUGGAUUAUGCCUCACAUGAUAAUUAUUUUGUUGAGUUUGCUCCCACUACUAUUGAUGAGAAUAGAUUUGCUUAUGUGGAGAGUAGUAAAUUUUCUAUGCUUGUAG